GGCAAACGGCAGAAACCGAUCAAACCGACCCGAUCAACCCGAGAUUUUCGGUUUUCGGCGAAAACCGAAGAGAUUAGACCAAACCGAACGGCAAAAUUAGUUUGGGCAAUCGGAUGUCGGUUCGGGUCGGUUCGGUAGUCGGUUAUCGAUCGGUUAAUUCGGUUUAAGGGAACAUGGUAUAAAAACAUAAAACCCUAGAUCUAAUUCAUUUCAUCUCUUCUCCUCUCCUUUACGAUCCUUCUUUUUCCACUCUUUCUUCUUCUCCUUACUUCUUUCUUCUUCUCCUUACUUCUUUUUUAGACUCUCCAACAUCGAUACCGUGGUUCAGUUUCGACAUGGGUUGGCCGUUCAUCACUAGCUUCGACCAGAUUUUGUUUUCAGAAAAUCUCAUCGGAGAAAUAUUUCUCUACGGCGACGGCGACGGCUCGUUGGCUAGGAAGAGAGUAGCGGCGGCAAGCUUUCAUCAGCCCUAAUUUUUUUUGGAUUUGGAUUUGUAAUUGUAAUUUAAUUUGGGCUUGGGUUUGUUUGUUUCGGCCCAUUAUUUAUUGGUUUGUAAUUGUAAUUUUCUGUUUACGAAGCCCAUUAUCUUGAUUUUGGUCUAAUUCGGUUUUAAAAAACCGAAGUAGAAAAAUUUUCGGUUUA